GUGUCCUCAGAGGCCCAGUGCUGCCCACACCCUGCCUCUGUCUCAGCCUUCAGGGCACCCCAAGUUUGCUGUGCUCUAAGAAAUGGGGAAGCACCAAUUUCCAGAAAAAUCAUAGUGAAGUUAACCUGAGGAGGUUGAGAGACGUUGGUGUUCCUUUCCUCCCUCCAUCACAUGCUGUCACCACUUGCUCUAUGUCCUGGGACAACUCUCCCCACUCAGAGCCUGACCACAGGGCAGAGGAAAAUCUUCCCAGCUUUCUCCUCCAGAAAACCAGCGUGCAGACCCUCUUCUCCUUACUGAUUCUAUUGCUACUCACUAAAGAGAAGUAGAAAAGAUCACAAAAAAGCAACACAUCUAGGAGUGUUAAAAAUGGAAUGUCCUGAGCCCUGAGGAUGCAGCAGUGAACAAGACAUAUGCAGACAUGGUCCCUGCUCUCCAGUGGGUCCUGACUCUUUUGACACAAUCAUGGAAGCCUGUCGACUUGUGCUCUCUGAAGUCCUGGUCCCUGUGGGAGCUGGGGACAAUACCUACAAGAACCCACAUUUUAGUCCAAGGGAAGAAUAGACAGUCUGAGUGGUUGACCUGCAUAGCUAGAAGCAGUGCAGCCAGGGCUGGACGUGCUAGUCUUGGAAGAGGCGGGGAAGCCAGAAGUCAGGGCCAAAGGGGCAGUGUCAUGUGUUAAGAAAUGAGCUCAGGGCGCAAACGAAUGAGUCCAGGCAUUAGGAAGGGGUCGGGAGGCAGAGGGUAGGGGAAGUGGCCAGUGAUGGGUUAGGAUUAGAAAAAGGCAAGGGUUUUGGCAAUCUAUCUUGCUGGGAGCUGGUUGACUGGCAGGAAAUCAAGGGUUGAUGAUGGUAACAACAAUAAUCUUUGUCAAGUGUGUAUUGAGUACUUACCGCGACUGUGCCAGCCACCAAGGCAAGCACUUUACAUAUAUGGUUGGUCUCGCAUUAAAUGGUAAAGCGUUGGCUGGAUGUCUGCUCUUAAGCAUAGAAAGGAGGCGGGUGCGGUGGCUCACACCUAUAAUCUCAGCACUUUGGGAGCCUGAGGCAGGCAGAUCAGGAGGUCAGGAGUUUGAGACCAACCUGGCCAACAUGGUGAAACCCCAUCUCUACCACUAAAAAUACAAAAAUAUUAGCUGGGUGUGGUGGCGCACGCCUGUAAUCCCAGCUACACUGGAGGCUGACGCAGGAGAAUCAUUUGGACCCAGGAGGCAGCGGUUGUGGUGAGUGGAAAUCACACCAUUGCACUCUAGCCUGGGCAACAGAGCAAGAUUCCAUGGUGGCACAUGCCUGUAGUCCCAGCUACUCAGGAGGCUGAGGCAGGAGAAUCGCUUGAACCUGGAGGUAGCGGUUGCAAUGAGCCAAGAUCGUGCCACUGCACUCCAGCCUGGGGACAGAGUGAGACACUGUCUCAAAAAAAUAAAAUAUAGAAAAAGGAACCAAACCUACUCUUUCUAGACCCCAGCAGA